AGUGUACGCUGGCGGCGUGCUUAACACAUGCAAGUCGAACGAGAACGGAAUAUAGCUUGCUAUAUUUGUCAGCUAAGUGGCGCACGGGUGAGUAAUGUAUAGAUAACCUGCCCUUAAGAAAGGAAUAACAGUUGGAAACGACUGCUAAUGCCCUAUAUGCCUUUAAUACAUAAGUAUGCAAGGGAAACGCUUUAGUGCUUAAGGAUGGGUCUGUAUGGUAUCAGCUUGUUGGUGAGGUAAUGGCUCACCAAGGCUAUGACGCCUAACUGGUUUGAGAGGAUGAUCAGUAACACUGGAACUGAGACACGGUACAGACUACUACGGGAGGCAGCAGUGGGGAAUAUUGCACAAUGGACGAAAGUCUGAUGCAGCAACGCCGCGUGGAGGAUGACACAUUUCGAUGCGUAAACUCCUUUUAUAUAGGAAGAUAAUGGCGGUACUAUAUGAAUAAGCACCGGCUAACUCCGUGCCAGCAGCCGCCGUAA
rnacentral:rRNA from 1 species